ACAAUCUUUAUUCUUGGAAAAUGCUUACAGACCACAUGUACUCCUUGGGGUGCAGAGAUAAGAUUAAGGAAUAAAAUGUUGGACUCUGGGACUCCCUUUUUUAGCAGUAAAGAAAUAGCUUGAACUGCUGAAUUCCCUGUGCCAAGGAUAGGAUCCAACAAAAGGACAUGCCUUUCUGCAAUAUCUUCUGGCAGUUUUUCAUAUAUCAGCUGCUGACCAUUAUCGCCCUCUCUGUGGAUAAGAAUCUUGCCUAUCUUGAUACCUUUACAACAUGCACGCAAGGCAUUCUCCAUGCUCUCUCCACUUCUAAUUACUGAAACACCACAUAACCUCUUACAAAAAUCAACACCACUGUAAACAGAUCCAGUUGGAGUCAACACCUGCUUUUCCGUAAAUGGCAGAUGUCCUAAACCAUGUUCAACAACCAAUCGAAUUAAUCUAUCAGCAUAAAAUACAAAGUCAUGUUUAGUUGUAUGACCAUCCCGUAUAAGUGUAUGCAUGCCACGU
rnacentral:misc_RNA from 1 species